rnacentral:rRNA from 1 species
CCUACGGGUGGCUGCAGUGGGGAAUCUUGCACAAUGGGGGAAACCCUGAUGCAGCGACGCCGCGUGAGCGAUGAAGCCCUUCGGGGUGUAAAGCUCUUUCGGCAGGAACGAUAAUGACGGUACCUGCAGAAGAAGCUGCGGCUAACUACGUGCCAGCAGCCGCGGUAAUACGUAGGCAGCAAGCGUUGUUCGGAAUUACUGGGCGUAAAGCGCACGUAGGCGGAUAUCUAAGUCGGGGGUGAAAGCCUUGGGCUCAACCCAAGAAUUGCCUUCGAUACUGGAUAUCUCGAGACCGGGAGAGGUGAGUGGAAUUCCGAGUGUAGAGGUGAAAUUCGUAGAUAUUCGGAAGAACACCAGUGGCGAAGGCGGCUCACUGGCUCGGUUCUGACGCUGAGGUGCGAAAGCGUGGGGAGCAAACAGGAUUAGAUACCCGAGUAGUC